ACACAUGCAGUCGAACGAUGACGACCGUGCUUGCACGGUCUGAUUAGUGGCGAACGGGUGAGUAACACGUGAGUAACCUGCCCUCCACUCUGGGAUAACCUCGGGAAAUCGGGGCUAAUACCGGAUACGAGCUCCCUCCGCAUGGUGGGGGUUGGAAAGUUUUUCGGUGGGGGAUGGACUCGCGGCCUAUCAGUUGGUUGGUGAGGUAAUGGCUCACCAAGGCGAUGACGGGUAGCCGGCCUGAGAGGGCGACCGGCCACACUGGGACUGAGACACGGCCCAGACUCCUACGGGAGGCAGCAGUGGGGAAUAUUGCACAAUGGGCGAAAGCCUGAUGCAGCGACGCCGCGUGGGGGAUGACGGCCUUCGGGUUGUAAACCUCUUUCAGCAGGGAAGAAGCGAGAGUGACGGUACCUGCAGAAGAAGCGCCGGCUAACUACGUGCCAGCAGCCGCGGUAAUACGUAGGGCGCAAGCGUUGUCCGGAAUUAUUGGGCGUAAAGAGCUUGUAGGUGGCUUGUCGCGUCUGCCGUGAAAACCCGAGGCUCAACCUCGGGCGUGCGGUGGGUACGGGCAGGCUAGAGUGUGGUAGGGGAGACUGGAACUCCUGGUGUAGCGGUGAAAUGCGCAGAUAUCAGGAAGAACACCGAUGGCGAAGGCAGGUCUCUGGGCCAUUACUGACACUGA
rnacentral:rRNA from 1 species